rfam:Camelus ferus unplaced genomic scaffold scaffold1719, whole genome shotgun sequence.
AAGGGUUUAGCUCAGUGGUAGAGCUGGUGCUUAGCAUGCACAAGGUCCUGAGUUCAAUCCCCAGCACCUCCA